rnacentral:rRNA from 1 species
UACGAAGGGGGCUAGCGUUGUUCGGAUUUACUGGGCGUAAAGCGCACGUAGGCGGAUAUUUAAGUCAGAGGUGAAAUCCCAGGGCUCAACCCUGGAACUGCCUUUGAUACUGGAUAUCUCGAGUAUGGAAGAGGUGAGUGGAAUUCCGAGUGUAGAGGUAAAAUUGUAGAUAUUCGGAGGAACACCAGUGGCGAAGGCGGCUCACUGGUCCAUUACUGCCGCUGAGGUGCGAAAGCGUGGGUAGCCAUCA